GGAGAGUUCGUCAAAUUGGGAUGGCAUCGGUCUCGAAAACCGACGGGCAAUGACGCCCUUGCGAGUUCGAGUCUCGCACUCUCCG
rnacentral:tRNA from 1 species